CAGUCGCCGCGGUAAUACGUAGGUCCCGAGCGUUGUCCGGAUUUAUUGGGCGUAAAGCGGGCGCAGGCGGUUAGAUAAGUCUGAAGUUAAAGGCUGUGGCUUAACCAUAGUACGCUUUGGUAACUGUUUAACUUGAGUGCAAGAGGGGAGAGUGGAAUUCCAUGUGUAGCGGUGAAAUGCGUAGAUAUAUGGAGGAACACCGGUGGCGAAAGCGGCUCUCUGGCUUGUAACUGACGCUGAGGCUCGAAAGCGUGGGGAGCAAACAGGAUUAGAGACCCGUGUAGUCCCUGUCUCUUAUACA
rnacentral:rRNA from 1 species